rnacentral:rRNA from 9 species
AAAUUGAAGAGUUUGAUCAUGGCUCAGAUUGAACGCUGGCGGCAGGCCUAACACAUGCAAGUCGAACGGUAACAGGAAGCAGCUUGCUGCUUCGCUGACGAGUGGCGGACGGGUGAGUAAUGUCUGGGAAACUGCCUGAUGGAGGGGGAUAACUACUGGAAACGGUGGCUAAUACCGC